rnacentral:rRNA from 1 species
CCCGUGAGAAAGCCCUUUUACCUUAAUUAGACAAAGGAGCAGGCAUCAGGCACAGACUUCUAGCCCAUAACGCCUAGUUACACCACGCCCUCAAGGGUACUCAGCAGUGACAAAUAUUACACAUAAGCGUCAGCUUGAUUUAGUUAAAGAAAAUUAGAGCCGGCUAAUCUGGUGCCAGCCGCCGCGGCUACACCAGCAGGCUCAAGUUGAUGGUUAUCGGCGUUAAGCGUGAUUAAAGAAAACCUAAAUUAGAGUUAAACAUGAUUUUAGUAGUGAUAAGCUUAUUACCUGGAAGAACAAAAACGAAAGUUACUCUAAUCAUACUUGAAUACACGACAGCUAGGACACAAACUGGGAUUAGAU